GGGGCGGGGGGGGCUGUGCUUAAUAGAGUGGAUGGGGGCAAGGGGGAGAGGGGGCUUCUCUGAAGUAUGGAGAUAAAAGCAGACCCGCCUGGGAACCAGAGAGAAUUGAGGCCGUCUAAACAGGAAGGGAGGAAGGAGAGAGGAAGAGACAGGGCACAGGGGAGACUAGGGGUGAAAAAGCAACCGCUAAGGGAGAGUCUGACGCAGGGGUGAGGGGUGGAGAUGAGGAAAGGGAGCUUGGAAGAGAAAUUGAGGAAGGACGGGUCAGUGGGAAGACUGAAGGCUAUUGCAGGACUUGAACUAAGAGGUCUUGAAGUCGUUUUCUUUCUGGAUUUCUGGCUGCAAUCCAGUGACACCUGACGGGGGUGGCGAGGGGGAUCCUGAUAGCUGAUUGGCCGCGGCAAGGAUCCUGAAGGAGGCCGCGGUCUGCCAGUGCACCCAGGCCCCAGCUGUGACUCAGCCGCCGCUCUCCAGCACCGGGAGAGGGAACUCUCCGCCCGCCCGCGGACCCACCCCCGGCGCGAGCCGUGACGUCUCCCGGAAUUCACAGCUGCCCUCUCUCCCCGCUGGGCUCCCCCCAUCGGCACGCAGGAGGCUCUUCUGUCGCAGGCGGGAGCUGAGAGCAAACUGCCGGGGUCGUGCACGACUCCCCGGGGCUUCCCGCAGAAGCUGAUUGGCAAGGGGGGGUGGGGUGGGGUUCCGGCAGCCGUUGGUAACCCCCGCCCUGUCCCCUCCGCCUCCGCCCCAGUAAGAGAGGGCUGUAAAAUUCCGGAAGAGAGAUUAGAGGCAGGGGAUGGGUGGGGCAGUGAAUCAGUACAUUCCUUUCUCCCCCUGCCUCCUCCUGCCCUGUUAUCACUUUGGGUGGGUUGGGUCCUCUUAUGGCCUUCUCCUGACCGGUCCACUGGCAGGGUCCAGACAAGCUAAGCAGUGCUGGGCGGGAACCUCCCAAACUCAGCUGAACUUUGUAGAGCCUGGAUCACUUACUUUGCAGUUCAUGACCCCAUUUGGUUUCGGGUUGGGGAAUUUUGGUCCUUGCUUCCAACUGGGUCCCUUCCACAAGAGUAGUUCUUAGGCCUGUCUGUGCAUUUGUUAGUAGCUCCCAUUAAUUGAGCAAGCUCUUGCUCCGAGGCAAGGUCUGUGCUAGGUCAAUCAGUCUUAUGUUCCUAAAACUUUGCAAGGUAGGCAUACCUUCUCUCCUGUUAGAAGCCAGGACUCUGAAAGCUCAGAGAGGUUAGGUAACUUGCUCAAGGUCACACAGUGGCAAAGCCAGGAGUAGUCCCAGCUCUAUUAGUUCCAUAAAUUUUCCACCACACUCCGUGGCUUCCUUUAGCACACUGAAAGGCAACACUUAUUAGGGGGUGGCGAAGUAACAUCUAUGGACCACUUCCCACUGUGCUAGGUACUUUAAAUAUAUUGUCUUUAAUCAUUUACUUUUUUCACAACAACCCCCUGAGAGAGAUACGAUCACCAUGCCCAUAUUACACAGGAGGAAACUUUCGUUAGGAAUUUCAGGGGCAGAGCUGGGAUUCCUGUACAGUCAUAGUACAAAGCCGCAGUUAAUGUUUGUAUAGUGCUUGACAGUUUCCAAAGCCCUUUCAAGAUCUUCAUUUCAGUCUAUCCCAUUUCACAG
rnacentral:lncRNA from 1 species